CCUACGGGUGGCAGCAGUGAGGAAUAUUGGUCAAUGGACGAGAGUCUGAACCAGCCAAGUAGCGUGAAGGAUGACUGCCCUAUGGGUUGUAAACUUCUUUUAUAUGGGAAUAAAACGUUCCACGUGUGGGAUUUUGUAUGUACCAUAUGAAUAAGGAUAGGCUAACUCCGUGCCAGCAGCCGCGGUAAUACGGAGGAUCCGAGCGUUAUCCGGAUUUAUUGGGUUUAAAGGGAGCGUAGGUGGAUUGUUAAGUCAGUUGUGAAAGUUUGCGGCUCAACCGUAAAAUUGCAGUUGAAACUGGCAGUCUUGAGUACAGUAGAGGUGGGCGGAAGUCGUGGUGUAGCGGUGAAAUGCUGAGAUAGCACGAAGAACUCCGAUUGCGAAGGCAGUUCACUGGACUGCAACUGACACUGAGGCUCGAAAGUGUGGGUAUCAAACAGGAUUAGAUACCCUUGUAGUC
rnacentral:rRNA from 1 species